CUCCGGAUCAAAGGUGUGAGUCCGCCUCGGGAUGAGUCUGCCUCCUAUUAGCUUGUUGGUGGGGUAACGGCCUACCAAGGCAUUGAUGGGUAGCGGGUGUGAGAGCACGACCCGCGUCAUUGGGACUGAGACACUGCCCAGACACCUACGGGUGGCUGCAGUCGAGAAUCUUCGGCAAUGGACGCAAGUCUGACCGAGCGACGCCGCGUGCGGGAUGAAGGCCUUCGGGUUGUAAACCGCUGUCAGUGGGGAGGAAGGCUCCGUGAAGAACGGGGUUUGACCUAUCCGCAGAGGAAGUGUGGGCUAAGUUCGUGCCAGCAGCCGCGGUAAGACGAACCACACGAACGUUAUUCGGAAUUACUGGGCUUAAAGGGUGCGUAGGCGGCGCGGAAAGUAGGGUGUGAAAUCCCUCGGCUCAACCGAGGAACUGCGCCCUAAACUU
rnacentral:rRNA from 1 species